GAACGAGAAAUACAAUAUAUGAGUAAUAUUUUGUGCGGGGUUUAUUAUACUAAUGAGUAAUUGAUUUUGUGCGGGGUUUCAUUGAGAACGAGAAAUGCAAUAUAUGAGUAAUAUUUGGAGCGAUUAUAGAAUACCCGGCCACUUUUGAAUUUUGAUAGUGUUUGCUUUUGGGGGAUACGGGGAUACGCAGUCAUUAAAAUGACGUAAUUAUUCGAGUAGUUUAAGAGGAGAAUGGGUAACUAUUAUAUUUCAAUGAUACGGGCAUACGGGGAUACGCAGUCAUUAAAAUGACGUAAUUAUUCGAGUAGUUUAAAAGGAGAAUGGGUAACUAUUAUUUUUCAAUGAUACGGGGAUACGGGGAUACGCAGUCAUUAAAAUGACGUAAUUAUUGGAGUAGUUAAUUUUAACAGGAGAAUGGGUAACUAUUAUUUUUCAAUGAUACGGGGAUACGCAGUCAUUAAAAUGACGUAAUUAUUGGAGUAGUUUAAGAGGAGAAUGGGUAACUAUUAUUUUUCAAUGAUACGGGGAUACGCAGUCAUAUGCAUUAAAAUGACGUAAUUAUUCGAGUAGUUUAAAAGGAAAAUGGGUAACUAUUAUUUUUCAAUGAUACGGGGAUACGCAGUCAUUAAAAUGACGUAAUUAUUCGAGUAGUUUAAAAGGAGAAUGGGUAACUAUUAUUUUUCAAUGAUACGGGAAUACGGGGAUACGCAGUCAUUAAAAUGACGUAAUUAUUCGUGUAGUUUAAAAGGAGAAUUGGUAACUAUUAUAUUUCAAUGAUAUGGGGAUACGGGAAUACGCUGUCAUUAAAAUGACGUAAUUAUUCGUGUAGUUGAAGAGGAGAAUUGGUAACUAUUAUAUUUCAAUGAUACGGGGAUACGCAGUCAUUAAAAUGACGUAAUUAUUCGAGUAGUUUAAGAGGAGAAUGGAUAACUACUAUUUUUCAAUGAUACGAGGAUACGCAGUCAAAUCGUGCUCAUUUGAUAUGCAAAAUUUAUACUAAUGAGUAAUAUUUUGUGCGGUGUUUAUUGAGAACGAGAAAUACAGUAUAUGAGUAAUAUUUUGUGCGGGGUUUAUUAUACUAACUAGGUUACCCACAGGGCAAUAAUGCUGCCUUUGACAUCAAAAGACAAACUACAGGGUGUU